UCAGGUGCGUGGGUACUGGAAGCACAGUCCUCCCAAGUCUGUGGAAGUGAAGACCUAACUCAACAGAACCUGUUCAGGUGCGUGGGUACUGGAAGCACAGUCCUCCCCAAGUCUGUGGAAGUGAAGACCUAACUGCAGAACCUGUUCAGGUGUGUGGGUACUGGAAGCACAGUCCUCCCCAAGUCUGUGGAAGUGAAGACCUAACUGCAGAACCUGUUCAGGUACGUGGGUACUGGAAGCACAGUCCUCCCAAGUCUGUGGAAGUGAAGACCUAACUCAACAGAACCUGUUCAGGUGCGUGGGUACUGGAAGCACAGUCCUCCCAAGUCUGGAAGUUAAGACCUAACUCUGCAGAACCUGUUCAGGUGCGUGGGUACUGGAAGCACAGUC